rnacentral:rRNA from 1 species
UGGGGAAUAUUGCACAAUGGAGGGAACUCUGAUGCAGCGACGCCGCGUGAACGAAGAAGGCUUUCGAGUCGUAAAGUUCUUUUAUAUGGGAAGAUAAUGACGGUACCAUAAGAAAAAGCCCCGGCUAACUACGUGCCAGCAGCCGCGGUAAUACGUAGGGGGCUAGCGUUGUCCGGAAUCACUGGGCGUAAAGGGUUCGCAGGCGGAAAUGCAAGUCAGGUGUAAAAGGCAGUAGCUUAACUACUGUAAGCAUUUGAAACUGCAUAUCUUGAGAAGAGUAGAGGUAAGUGGAAUUUUUAGUGUAGCGGUGAACUGCGUAGAUAUUAAAAAGAAUACCGGUGGCGAAGGCGACUUACUGGGCUCAUUCUGACGCUGAGGAACGAAAGCGUGGGUAGCAAACAGG